rnacentral:rRNA from 1 species
UACGUAGGUGACAAGCGUUGUCCGGAUUUACUGGGCGUAAAGAGCGCGCAGGCGGUCGAUCAAGUCGAGUGUGAAAGCCCCCGGCUCAACUGGGGAGGGUCAUUCGAUACUGUUCGACUCGAAGGCAGGAGAGGGAAGUGGAAUUCCCGGUGUAGUGGUGAAAUGCGUAGAUAUCGGGAGGAACACCAGUGGCGAAGGCGACUUCCUGGCCUGUUCUUGACGCUGAGGCGCGAAAGCUAGGGGAGCAAACGGG